UGAGCCACCAGGGAAGCCGAACCAGUAUAAAUGAGAGUCAUGGGUUCAAUCCCUGAUCUGGAAAGACGCCAGAUGCCGCGGGGCCCCUAAGCGCAUGCUCCACAGCUGUAACGCCUGUGCUCUGGAGCCCGGGAGCUGCAGCUGCUGAACCCACACGCCCAGACUACUGAAGCCAGUGUGUUCCAGAGCCUGUGCUCCAGAACGAGAGAAGCCACAGCAAUGAGAAGCCUGCAAACAACUAGGAGUGGCAACUAGAGAAAGAAGUCCCUGCCCAGGAAUAAAGAUCCACACAGAAAAAUAAUAUUUCUUUAAAAAGAUAAACACAGUUGGGUAGGGCAGGGGCUGGCUGCAGCCUCAGAAGGGGACCUUCUCUCCCCUCACGCGUGUCCAGGAUGUGGGACUGAGUGCUGGAGACAGGCCAGAGCUCGCUGGAGAGAGCCCAAACCAGAGCUGAUGUCAGCAAGAACCUAUGAAAUAUUCCUAGCCACCGUUCUCCAUGUGGCUGGCCUGGUCCAGCCUCACCACAGAGUGUAAAAGUAGCUGGACUGCCAGGCUUCAUGACAGGAGCUGUGAGGACCACGUCUUUUGUGUGGUACCCAGUGGGCUGGGCCGGUGGCAAGCCCUUCCUGCAGAGUGCGGAAUUCUGCCAAACUCGAAAUGGAUGGGCAGGUCUGCGCCCCACCCUUUCCUCAGGGGCCUCUGUCUGAUGAGUCAAAGACCACAAAGUCUACAGAAUCACGUGUCAAUGACCUCAGCAAGAAUGUUUUCGGCCCCACCAUGACAAAUGCGAAUUGAGGGAAACCAAGUUCCUGGUUUGUGAUCAGCUGGUACCACUGUGGAUAUGCGGAAUGCUAGAAAGAAGGUUCUGGCGCCAAAACUGCAAGAUGAGAAAUCGGUGCAGCAAUGAGAGCCCAGGACACUAACACAGAACCCAGCUUUGUUCUUCUAAGGACAGCGGAAGAAACCCAUCUGCUCAGAAAACCAGAGACGCCAUAAGCCGAGGUGCAGGGUGGAUUCUUUACCGCUGAGCCACCUGGGAAGCCUGCACAUACAGGUUGAGGAACACCAAAGUUGGCCAGUCAACCACUAGUAGCUAGGGGAGAAGCCUGGAACAAGCCACUGCCUCACAGGGCUUGAAAGGAUCCGACCCUGCUGACAUCUUAAUCUUGGAUUUCUUAAGAACCGUGAUACAGUAAAUUUCUAAAUCACUCAGUCUGUGGUACCUUGUUAUGACAACUCGAGGAAACUAACACAGAUGCCUUCAGAUGCCAGACCAGCAGCUAAAAUGAGUGGUGGGGGUGAGGUCUUUUCGGGGAGGCUGUGCUAGUGAACUUCCCUGAAAGGGAUGUGUCCCUCUGAGCAGGCCUGCUCAGAUGCGGGGUGUGUGGGAGGCAGAGUCCAGAGACCCAGAGGAGACGCUGGCUGGCAGCCUCGGCAAGGACGCCUGUGAGGAGGAGGAGGCCACCUCCGAGGUAAAGCCAGGCUCACCCCACCACACCUGGAGCAGCUGAACCACCACGGAGACAGAAACUUGGAACACUGCCUGCAAGUCAGGAAUCUCAUGCGACCAGUCUGGUCUCCUGCAUGCAGGGCACACCUCUCCACCCACAGCCUGCCACCCUCAAUGCGUGGCAGUGUCACUGGGAUUUCAGAAUGGAAAACCACAUCUGGGUCCAUCCCAGGAGACCAGUCUUAAAAACAGUUUGUCAGGCUGGACACCUCCCUUUCCCUGCCCUGGCAGCCUUCCAGGCAGAAAGCCCUUGAGGUCAAGGCAGGCCGCGGGGUCCUGCAGUUCAGCCUGGGAGCUGGAACCUCAGGAACAGGUGAGAUGGCAGGAAUGAAGAAAUGAAUGUUAGUUGCUGAGCCGUGUCCAACUCUCUUCGACCCCAUGGGCUGUCGCCCGCCAGGCUCCUCUGCCCAUGGAAUUCACUAGGCAAGAAUAAAUACCGGAGUGGGUAGCCAAGGAGAUGGCAGGAAACCUCUCCUAAUAAAAGCAAGUCAUUUGCCAUCUGGCAGCCUUGGCUCCAAGUUUCCAGAGAGCUGGGCUGGGCCCAGUGCAUGCCUACUUGCUUUUUUCUAAAAAAAAAAAAAAAAAAAAAAAAAGAACAAAAAAGGAUCAGGUGUGUUCUGGGAAGGCUGCCCUCAAGGAGGAGGGAGGGUGACUGGGGGAGUUGGAACAGCAGUCUCCCCUCUGAGACAGGUGUACCUGAUAGUUGGUGACCGAGACAGAUCAAGCCUCAUGCCAGGCCUGUGGCCACAGCAGCCAGUUGCUUAAUCAGAACCUGGAGGAUGAAGCCUGGAGAGGGCUUCCAGAUGCUUCCUCCUUCUCAGAGCGAUUGAGCAGCGGGGUGGGUGAGGCAGCUCUGUGGCAAGCAACACGUGGAGCGGAUGGAUAAUCAAACGCCAGCUAGAAGCCUGGGGUCAGCUGGGCCUCCCGGGCUGGGGGCUGGGAUCUGGGUUUGCUUCUCAGCUCUGUAGGGAGCUGUUCAGUGGCUUAGCUAGGCAAGACCCUUCACCUCUUAGGGUUUCACUUCCCCCAGUUAUCAAAAGGGGAAAAGCAUCUUCCUCUUGCCCAAUCC